GAUGAACGCUGGCGGCGUGCCUAAUACAUGCAAGUCGAGCGAACGGACGAGAAGCUUGCUUCUCUGAGGUUAGCGGCGGACGGGUGAGUAACACGUGGAUAACCUACCUAUAAGACUGGGAUAACUUCGGGAAACCGGAGCUAAUACCGGAUGAUAUGUUGAACCGCAUGGUUCAAAAGUGAAAGACGGUCUUGCUGUCACUUAUAGAUGGAUCCGCGCUGCAUUAGCUAGUUGGUAAGGUAACGGCUUACCAAGGCAACGAUGCAUAGCCGACCUGAGAGGGUGAUCGGCCACACUGGAACUGAGACACGGUCCAGACUCCUACGGGAGGCAGCAGUAGGGAAUCUUCCGCAAUGGGCGCAAGCCUGACGGAGCAACGCCGCGUGAGUGAUGAAGGUCUUCGGAUCGUAAAACUCUGUUAUUAGGGAAGAACAUAUGUGUAAGUAACUGUGCACAUCUUGACGGUACCUAAUCAGAAAGCCACGGCUAACUACGUG
rnacentral:rRNA from 1 species